rnacentral:tRNA from 1 species
GCCAGUUUAGCUCAGUGGUAGAGCAACGGUUUUGUAAACCGUCGGUCGUCGGUUCAAUCCCGACAACUGGCUCCA